rnacentral:rRNA from 1 species
UGCCAGACUCCUACGGGAGGCAGCAGUGAGGAAUAUUGGUCAAUGGGCUUACGCCUGAACCAGCCAAGUCGCGUGAGGGAAGACUGCCCUAUGGGUUGUAAACCUCUUUUGUCAGGGAGCAAUUGGCGCUACGUGUAGCGUUAUCGAGAGUACCUGAAGAAAAAGCAUCGGCUAACUCCGUGCCAGCAGCCGCGGUAAUACGGAGGAUGCGAGCGUUAUCCGGAUUUAUUGGGUUUAAAGGGUGCGUAGGCGGACUGGAAAGUCAGCGGUAAAAUCGAGAGGCUCAACCUCUUUCCGCCGUUGAAACUGUCGGUCUUGAGUGGGCGAGAAGUAUGCGGAAUGCGUGGUGUAGCGGUGAAAUGCAUAGAUAUCACGCAGAACUCCGAUUGCGAAGGCAGCAUACCGGCGCCCGACUGACGCUGAGGCACGAAAGCGUGGGUAUCGAACAGGAUUAGAUACCCGCGUA